rnacentral:rRNA from 1 species
UCGAGGAUCUUCGGCAAUGGGCGCAAGCCUGACCGAGCGACGCCGCGUGUGCGAAGAAGGCCUUCGGGUUGUAAAGCACUGUCGAGGGGAAGAAAGCCGCAAGGUUGAUCGACCCCUGGAGGAAGCACGGGCUAAGUUCGUGCCAGCAGCCGCGGUAAGACGAACCGUGCGAACGUUGUUCGGAUUCACUGGGCUUAAAGGGCGCGUAGGCGGGUCCUCAAGUCGGUGGUGAAAUCUUUCGGCUCAACCGGAAGACGGCCUCCGAUACUGGGGAUCUCGAGGGAGGUAGGGGCAUGUGGAACUUCCGGUGGAGCGGUGAAAUGCGUAGAUAUCGGAAGGAACGCCGGUGGCGAAAGCGACGUGCUGGACCUCUUCUGACGCUGAGGCGCGAAAGCCAGGGGAGCAAACGGGAUUAGAUACCCGGGUAGUCC